rnacentral:tRNA from 1 species
GGAGGAGUGGCUGAGCUGGUUGAAGGCGCACGACUCGAAAUCGUGUAUGCGGAGCAAUCCGUAUCCAGGGUUCGAAUCCCUGCUCCUCCGCCA